GUGAAGGAUCUCAAGAUGGCUGGGCGAAAACUUGCUCUAAAAACUAUUGACUGGGUAGCUUUUGGAGAGAUCAUACCCCGAAACCGGAAGGCCAUUGCUAACACCCUGAAAUCCUGGAAUGAGACCUUCACCUCCAGGUCGGCUACUCUACCUGAGAAACCACCCGCCAUCGACUGGGCUUACUACAAGGCCAAUGAAGCGAAGGCCAGCUUGGUAGAUGACUUUGAGAAGAAGUUUAAUGCCCUGAAGGUCCCUGUGCCAGAGGAUAAAUACAGUGCCCUGGUGGAUGCUGAAGAAAAAGAAGAUGUGAAAAGCUGUGUGGAGCUUUUGUCUCUCUCAAAGAGCAGGAUUGAGCAAUACAAGAAAGAGCUGGAGAAGAUGAACAUAAUUCCAUUUGAUCAGAUGACCACUGAGGAUUUGAAUGAAGUCUUCCCAGAAACCAAAUGAG